ACAGAGCCCGAUGCGGGGCUCGAACUCACAGACUGUGAGAUCAUGACCUGAGCCGAAGUCGGACACUCAACCGACUGAGCCACCCAGGCGCCCCUAGUUUAAAAGUACUUUAACAUGUUACUAAGCCUGCAAAAAUAUUGACAUGUUCCAGAGAAUUAAGGAAGUCACCGUACAUUUAAUUUAUUUUAUUUAUAAGAGGUACUUCGGAGAGCUUUGCUUGUUGGGUCAAGCAUUUGAAGCGCUGUUUUCAAGAAAAUACUUUUAAGUGUAUAAAUGUUAAGUCGUUUAAAGGAAUUUGGAUUGUAAAUGGGUUUGUUUAAAGAAAUUUACAUUUUAGUCUGUUCCACUUAAGUCUGCUCUCUCAAACAUGAAUUAAAGGCCCUCUUGAAAGUGAUUAUUAAAUGUACUAGUCUUCUGGAUGAAUUUAAAUCUAAAACUUUAAGAAAAGUUUUCAAAUGCUUGACUUUAACAAGUAACUAUAAAUUGUCUUUCCUAGGAACAAAAUGUUCCCCUCAGGCACUAAAAGAUACUUAAUGGUAAGUAGGCUACAUGCCUAUUUCCCCUGAUUAAAGUAACUAGACUAGGUGUGGUGUAUCUGGCUCAUUCCCUGUGUAAGCAGGGGGUUGUAAUUAGGAUUUAUAAUCAAAUUCUUGAUCUAAGAAAAUGUGGGAUUCAAAGAAUGCUGUUGGGAUUAUCAGCAGAGAAAGCUGGUCUGCAGAGAGAAAGGAGAAUGAAACCUAAAUCCAGAGAAAAUAAGCAAGACAAGGCCAUCCUGCCUCAGCAGUUCAGGCUAGAGAAGAGAGAAACCAUCAUUGUUACCAGCAGUUUCUUUUUCCCUUCUGGCUGUCCCUUAGGGGUUCCCUCAAGAGUCCGUGAGAGUCUUUGGAAUCCUUCUAAUAAAUUCUUUUUGUUUAGAUGA